CAGUCGCCGCGGUAAUACGUAGGUGGCAAGCGUUAUCCGGAAUUAUUGGGCGUAAAGCGCGCGUAGGCGGUUUCUUAAGUCUGAUGUGAAAGCCCACGGCUCAACCGUGGAGGGUCAUUGGAAACUGGGAAACUUGAGUGCAGAAGAGGAAAGUGGAAUUCCAUGUGUAGCGGUGAAAUGCGCAGAGAUAUGGAGGAACACCAGUGGCGAAGGCGACUUUCUGGUCUGUAACUGACGCUGAUGUGCGAAAGCGUGGGGAUCAAACAGGAUUAGAUACCCGGGUAGUCCCUGUCUCUUAUAC
rnacentral:rRNA from 1 species